rnacentral:rRNA from 1 species
AUUGAACGCUGGCGGCAGGCUUAACACAUGCAAGUCGAGCGGAGAGAGGUAGCUUGCUACCGAUCUUAGCGGCGGACGGGUGAGUAAUGCUUAGGAAUCUGCCUAUUAGUGGGGGACAACAUUUCGAAAGGAAUGCUAAUACCGCAUACGUCCUACGGGAGAAGGCAGGGGAUCUUCGGACCUUGCGCUAAUAGAUGAGCCUAAGUCGGAUUAGCUAGUUGGUGGGGUAAAGGCCUACCAGGGCGACGAUCUGUAGCGGGUCUGAGAGGAUGAUCCGCCACACUGGGACUGAGACACGGCCCAGACUCCUACGGGAGGCAGCAGUGGGGAAUAUUGGACAAUGGGCGCAAGCCUGAUCCAGCCAUGCCGCGUGUGUGAAGAAGGCCUUAUGGUUGUAAAGCACUUUAAGCGAGGAGGAGGCUACUUUAGUUAAUACCUAGAGAUAGUGGACGUUACUCGCAGAAUAAGCACCGGCUAACUCUGUGCCAGCCGCCGCCGUAUAC